AUACGGAGGAUGCGAGCGUUAUCCGGAUUUAUUGGGUUUAAAGGGAGCGUAGGUGGGAUAUUAAGUCAGCUGUGAAAGUUUGGGGCUCAACCUUAAAAUUGCAGUUGAUACUGGUUUCCUUGAGUACGGUACAGGUGGGCGGAAUUCGUGGUGUAGCGGUGAAAUGCUUAGAUAUCACGAAGAACACCGAUUGCGUAGGCAGCUGACCAGACCGCAAAUGACGCUCAUGCACGAAAGUGCGGGGAUCGAACAGGAUUAGAUACCCUGGUAGUCCGCACAGUAAACGAUGAAUACUUGUUUUCGGCGAUAUAAUGUCGGAGGCAAAGCGAAAGCGAUAAGUAUUCCACCUGGGGAGUACGCCGGCAACGGUGAAACUCAAAGGAAUUGGCGGGG
rnacentral:rRNA from 1 species